AAAAAAUAUCCGUGAGCGUCCACACGUCGCGCAUUCACACAAUAACGAAAAAAAAAACAAAGUCCGAAAUAACCACGCCAUGAAUAAAAAAAAAAAACUCACAAAAAAUCACCCUCAACAACACCCCCUUCUAUACACCGCGCCAACCCAAGGCAACUGAAAGGUAAUUCCAAUAUAACUGUCAACGCAAAACGCACCCCGCCGAAUUUUUUUUUUUUUUUUCUUCUUCCCCGCGAGGGGGAGGGAAGCUCGGGGGGGAUAUUUUGGGGGGCAACAGGGGGGGGGGAAACCCCCCAAAUACCCCCCGCGACCCAGCGGCCCGGGGGUUUUUUUGGAAGAAGAGGGCCUUUAACGUUUUUUUUAAAGGGCCCUUUAAACCCUGGGGAGGGGGCCCACUUUUAAGUCAAUACCCUAGACCUUAGUCGGACAGUUACCUCGCAGGAAUAAGGCACCGGGCUAACUUCUUUUCCCAGCAGUCGGCGGUAAUACAGAGGGUUGCAAGCGUUUAAUUCGGAAUUUACUGGGCGUAAAGCGAGAGUAGUGCGGCUUAUUAAGUCGGAUGUGAAAUCCUCGAGCUUAACUUGGGAAUUGACAUUCGAUACUGGUGAGCUAGAGUAUUGUCAGAGGAUGGUAGAAUUAUCAGGUGUAGCGGUGAAAUGCGUAGAGAUCUGGAGGAAUACCGAUGGCGAAGGCAGCCAUCUGGCCUAAUACUGACGCUGAGGUACGAAAGCAUGGGGAGCAAACAGGAUUAGAUACCCUGGUAGUCCAUGCCGUAAACGAUGUCUACUAGCCGUUGGGGCCUUUGAGGCUUUAGUGGCGCAGCUAACGCGAUAAGUAGACCGCCUGGGGAGUACGGUCGCAAGACUAAAACUCAAAUGAAUUGACGGGGGCCCGCACAAGCGGUGGAGCAUGUGGUUUAAUUCGAUGCAACGCGAAGAACCUUACCUGGCCUUGACAUACUAGAAACUUUCCAGAGAUGGAUUGGUGCCUUCGGGAAUCUAGAUACAGGUGCUGCAUGGCUGUCGUCAGCUCGUGUCGUGAGAUGUUGGGUUAAGUCCCGCAACGAGCGCAACCCUUUUCCUUACUUGCCAGCAUUUCGGAUGGGAACUUUAAGGAUACUGCCAGUGACAAACUGGAGGAAGGCGGGGACGACGUCAAGUCAUCAUGGCCCUUACGGCCAUGGCUACACACGUGCUACAAUGGUCGGUACAAAGGGUUGCUACACAGCGAUGUGAUGCUAAUCUCAAAAAACCGAUCGUAGUCCGGAUGGUGUCUACAACUACAUCCGCCUUUCC
rnacentral:rRNA from 1 species